ensembl:lncRNA
GCCCUUGUCUUCCAGAGGCUUAUAAAUACUUCCUUGGCACUGUUUUCUUGGAAUACUCUCCAGCUCUACCAACCAAAAGAAGAGUUUAGAAUAAACUGCUAAGACAAUUCUCUGUCAGCAUCCUUAAAUUUCAGCAAUGGACAUAUUAAGAGCAGUCACACCAACUUGUUAUGUGUUGAGACCACAAAGGCUAUCCUGAUUAAAAACAGUUUAUAUCGCCAACUGAGAUUUCUAUUUGUUCUGUUGGGUGUUAGUGGCUUUUAUCCAAAUUGGAUUCAUGGAUUAUAAGAACUGAAAGAGACCUUGGAAUUCAUUUAUUCCAACCUUAUUUUACAGAGAUGCCCUCAGAGGGCAAGAGACUUGCCCACUCAGUGAGUGUCAGAGCUAGGAUAUAAAAUCAGGUCUUGUAAACUUCAGUGCUUUUCCCAUGGGAAUCUUACUUGAGAAAUGGAUAGGACAUUGAACAGAAACCUAUUGAUGGGAAAGAAGUAAGGGAAAAACAAAGCCAGAAUAUGGAAUGGGCUCAGGGAAGAAGAAAAUAAGAAGCAUGAAGGCACUAUCAGAGAAGGGACUGUUGAACAAGAGGAGGAGGGGAAGACAGGAAGAGAAGAGGACCAGAGACAAAACUUACUUACCUCAUUGAUGGUUUUUUCCUAGGGUGAAUCUCACCAGUGCCUACAGUUUUCCCAUCAACCCUAUUUGAAACCAUGGACCAGAGGCAUGGACCAGAUCCAUCCCAAAUAUCAAGCUUUUUCCCUGCCCUGUUCUAGUUAUGAGAACUUUAAAGGGACUUAUAAUUCAUGUUCUUCCUCUGUUUGAAGGUAAGGUUGUUGUGGGCAAAGGGUGUCCUUUCUUCUCAUCAUUUCCCCAGCCUGCUUGGUACAAAGCAAUCAAAAGGAAGCCAUGAUAUGAAAGAAUGAAAAAGAGGAAAUAAACAGUUAAGCAUAUCUAAGAAAAGUCUGACAUUAUAUGCAGAGUUCCAGAGCCAUAGUCUACCACCUCUUUCAAGAAGUUAAGGAUGGAGGACCAGUGACAUCACAGAACAAUGUCUGGACUCCUGUAUGAACUGGAUUUAAGUGAGGGGGAACUGCACAAAGUCAUCAGCCUCUUUUCCAGAGUCAUUGAAGUUCAGUGGCAAAUCAAAAGUCAGGAUGACUGGCAAUGACCCAAGAUAUAGUGGAUGACUUUGGUAUCUUCAAUGUCUGACUGAACUCUAAGCUCUCCACAACACCUGCUUCAACCGCCUUCAUGGCCAUUGGAACAAAUUGUUCUCAUCCGCUCAUUUGUGUCCAGAUAUGACAUAACUAAUGGAUGAGUUUUCAUCUCAUUUACCACUGGGGUGGGUCCCAAAGGUCAUUCCUCACUCUUCAAGACAUCGAUGCUGAGCAGGUUCCAAAGCCUAGACCCUGGGACCAAGACAUCUGGAAGUUCUCUCUUCCUGAUCUUUCAGCGCUCGCAAGGUCACAGUCUCCAAUCACUUCUUCUAAGAUGAAAAAGAAUAAAUUCAGAAGCAAAGGAGUGACUUGUUUAAUCAAACCAAAUGUUAGUCUUAGACAGGAGAAGGAUCAAAGCAUCUCUUAUAACAAAAAUGGCCAAAGUCUAUCUUGCUGAAGGCACUCCCAGUUCCAACCAUGGAGCCAAUAUAAAAGUCUUUUUCUAACUUUAUAGUUAGCAGAACCAAUUACAGAAUGUCUCUCUAGAGUUUUUUUCCAGGCACAUCUAUUACUUAUCAUCACAGCUCUUCCAGAAACUGACUAUCCAGGUUUCUCAACAUGGGGAAACAUAACAGAGGCACUUUUCCAGUAUAUUGCUUUAAAAUUCCAAACAGGCCCUGAGAAGCAUACAGAGAUAUACAUAAUCAGCCCUUCCCAUGGAAACAAACAAACAGAAUCACCUUGGUUCCUGAUCCCUCCCUGCCCAGAGUCUUUAGGGAAAAGGGAUCUGCAAAAGACUAAAGUUAGAUCAGAAGAAGGUUCUCCAAGGAGUCAUUGUUUCAUUUUGUAGCACAUCUCCAUGGCACUGGAGCUUCAAAGAUGAGUCCUUUGCUAAUCUCUCUAAAGGGAACAACAAGUUCAUAUGCUGAAAAGACUUAUUUUUGUCAGAGAUGCUUAUUAGAUUAGAUAUACUUUAACAUAGAGGAAUGGAAUUUUUGCAUUUGAAAGUAUUUUGUUGCCCAGAAGUGGAGUGAGUCUAUUGGAUGAUGGUAAUGAUUAUGUUUGGUAUUGAUCUUUAUCACCAUCAUUGAUUUUUUUCUCAUCAAUAUAAUAAUUAUCAACAAAUAUGAACAUUUCAGGAUUUUUGUUGUUGUUCAUUUUGGUUAUUUAUAUCUGACUCUUUGUGAUGCCAUUUGGGCUUUUGUUGUUUAUUAUUUUGGUAAAGAUACUGAAUUAGUUUGCCAUUUCCUUCUCCAGCUAGUUUUACAGAUGAGGAAACUGAGGCAAAAAGGAUUAAGAUUGGAGUAAUUGGUUGCUUCUUUUUCUAGUUCAUUUUACUGACAAGGAACUGAGGCAAAUGGGAUCACACAACUAGUAAGUGUCUAAGGCUGGAUCUGAACUCAUGAAGAUGAAUCUUUCUGAUUCUAUGGCCAGCACGCUAUCCAUGUACCAGUAUGCAAAGAAAAAAAAAAUGAGUUGUAGAUGACAUUGUGAACUUGGUUAUGUUUAGCUUGGUUUGUUAUUUUAUACUAAAUUUAAGCUUGUCUUAAAAAGAAUGUAUAGAAUGCUGGGAUGGAAUCUUAAAAACAAUGGAUAGAGUCAGGACAACUUGGGUUCCUAUGUUCAAGUCUGACCUCAGACAUUUAAUAGCUCUGUGAUCCUGGGCAAGUCACUUCAUCCUGUCUGCCUCAGUUUUUUCAUCUGUAAAAUGAGCUAGAAAAGGAAAUGGCAAAUCACUCCAUUAUCUUUGCCAAGAAAAACCUACUGGGAUUAUGAAGAGACAUGAGUGAAACAACUGAACAAUAACAAAAUUACCCCCAUGUUCCCUUUUGAACUUUAUUCUGUUUUUUUUUAAUAUUUCAAUGAUUUUUUUUCUUAGCUUUUUUUCCCUUGCAUAUUUGUCACUACUACUAAUUAAGUGGUACAGUAGAUCAAACCCUGGGACUGGAGUAAGGAAAACACAAGUUCAAAUUUAACCUCACUUACUAUCUGUGUCACUUAACCUUUGUUUCCCUCAGUUUCUUUAUCUGUAAAAUGGAGACAAUAAUAACACCUACCUCCCAGGGUUGUUGUAAGGAUCAAAUGAGGUAAUAAUUAUGAAGCAUUUAGUACAGUGCCUGGCACAAAGAAGGAGCUCUUAUUACUAACUAAUUAUACCCCUAUUAAAAGCUUUCCUUGGAAAGAGAAAAGUAUAGUUAAUCAAAAAAAAAAAAAAUAAACACACACACAGAAUAUUAGUAUAUCUAUUUCUACUUAUAUAUACCUAUAAAUCUUUGGACACAGAGAGAAUAUUAGUAUAUAUUUGUACAUACACACACACAUAUAUACAGAGAAUAUUUGUAUAUCUGUACUUACAUAUAUCUAUAUAAAUAUAUAUGUAAGUAUAUAUAUAUAUACAUAUACAUAUAUAUGUAUAGUCAAACAAAUUGACACACUGGUCAUGUUUGAAAAUGUUUAUCUCAUUCUGUACAUCUCUAGUUACUUCUCUUCCAAGAGAUGGUAGCAAGCAUGAAUUUCUAAGCAAUUUGUAGAUAAUAAAUGAGUCCUUGCACUAUCCCAUGGGAUAGUCUAGUUACAUCAUCACUGGAUUAUGGAGGAGAAAUGGAGCACUCUAAAGGCUUACAUAGCUAUUGGUAAUACCAUGAGUCACACAAUCGAAACUGAAGUUGUGACAAGCUGGGGGCAGGGUUGCAUUUGGCCUAAUUUAGAGAGAGGUGAGCAAGUAUAAUAGAAAAAUACAUUGGAUUUAAUAUUCAGAAAACAGUAUUCAAAUCUCAGCUCAUCUACUAUUCAUUUAUUCUUGAGAAAGUUAUCUUAUCCCUUAGAGUCUUCAGCUUCUUCAUCUGUAAACUGGAUGUAAUUAUAACAAUUGCUACUUAACUCACAGGGUGAGGAAAGCAGUUUGCAAAUUGUAAAAUGGUAAACAAACUGGAAUUGUUUCUGAGAAGCUUUGUGGUACAGGUAGGAAACAUGCUGACUUUGGAGUUAGAGAACACUUACCACUUUUGUAACCUUGGAAAGUACCAUAAUUUCUCUUGGCCUCAGUUUCCUAAAUAGUAAAAUGAGUAUUUUAAAUAGAUGAUCUGCCUGAGGCAUUUUAAAAACUCCUACUUUCAGAUUCACACUCAAUUAGGAAUAUGGGAAUGAUAUUUCUCAAUGAUUAGAGGGAUUUAAUAGUAUCCCAGAGAGAGAACUUUUCUUGGGAUUCCUAAUCCAGGAAAGUAAACAAGAUUCUAUUAAAGUCAAAAUUCCUAGUAUAGGGUAACCAAAUCUCAGGAUUAGAUAAAUAUCAGAAGGUGAUGGUAGCAACAGUCCAAGGCCAGGAUUAUUUAUACUGAGUACAGACAGAGAGGAGCAAUAAUCAUUGGUAAAGUAAUAGUAUGCAAUUCCUCCAUACAAUAUAAUAUUUUAUUAUGGCAGCCAUACAUUAAUCAUAUCUCCUGUUUUCUCUGCUGUGUUACACUGGGAUUGAACAGUUAUAUAAAAAGAAGCAUAACAUGCUUGGAUGUGUAUAUGUAUGUGUGUGUAUGUAUGUAUGUUUGGGGAUCAUAAGUGAUGUCUCAAGUAUGAAAAAGGGGGGCAUUUCUUCAAAGAAGUUAGAGAUUGUGGCUAUGGAAUAUUGAAUAUAAUGUCAGAAUUUUUUGGUUAAUUUUGCUGAACUGUUUUUCUGUUCUUAUCUUUUGUUAUAAGAUUUUACUUUUUAGAAGGGAGAGAAGGAAGAGACACAUUGGAAAAUGUAGAUGAUGUGAAAACAAAAAAAAUGUCAAUAAAAAUUUAAUUAAAAAAAGAAUGAGGGAAAUGAUUUUUCUAAUUUAUAUGUUUCUAAUUUAUUCUAAUUUUAUUAAAGAAUCCCUCUGCCUGCAUUGUGGUUUUUUGUAUAUUGUUUUUCAGCCACCCCUCCUCCCCCAAGU